GUUCUUUAGAUUAUAAUUUAAGAUUUGGCCUGCCCUAUGAUUAAAUUAAAUGGCUGCGGUAUUUUAACCGUACAAAGGUAGCAUAAUCAUUUGUCUUUUAAUUGAAGGCUAGAAUGAAUGGUUUGAUGAAAAAUUUUCUUUCUUAGAUUAAUUAAUUGAAUUUAAUUUUUUAGUGAAAAAGCUAAAAUAUUUUUAUGGGACGAGAAGACCCUAUAGAAGUUUAUUUAAAAUUAAAUUUAAUUAAUUUUGUUAUUAUAUUUAAUUAUUUUUUUUUUUAAAUUUUGUUGGGGUGACAUAUAAAAAUAAAUAACUUUAUAAUUUUUAUUUCAAAUAUAUUUGAAUUUUUGAUCCAGUUAUUUCUGAUUAUUAGAUUAACUUACCUUAGGGAUAACAGCGUAAUUAAUUUGGAGAGUCCAUAUUGAUAAAUUAGUUUGCGA
rnacentral:rRNA from 1 species